AUGAUCCCCAAGAGCAAAUGGAAACAGGUAAUGCAAGAUCCGUCACUGCCUCAGUUUUCUUAUGGAAGCACUUUUCUGGCAGCAGUACAGAGAGAGGAAGCAUCAAGACACAGUUUCAUUGAGAUAAAAUGUGAACUCUACAAGGAGAAGGAAGUAUUUUUGCUCCUACUACAUCUACAGUACUGCAAGAAGGGCUUGUAUGAAUUUGAUAAGGCAUUUCAUGGACUCUAUUCUAAGGAUGAUCAGAUACUCAUUUUUCUACUGCAAAUGAAGAACAAGAACUAACUUACCUGAGUUCAAUGACAAUUGUGGAAUUGGAAAU
rnacentral:lncRNA from 1 species